AUGUGUAUGGGGGAAACGGACAGACUGGUGCAGACUCUGGGCGUCUAUAGCUCCAGUCUGAGCCAUCUUCAGUCAGUUGGGCCCCUCAUUAGCUCCCCUUUGCCACCUGUAAGCAAUCUAUCAGGCUGCUU